rnacentral:rRNA from 1 species
AUUGAACGCUGGCGGCAGGCCUAACACAUGCAAGUCGAACGAGUGGCGGACGGGUGAGUAAUGUCUGGGAAACUGCCUGAUGGAGGGGGAUAACUACUGGAAACGGUAGCUAAUACCGCAUACCAUCGGAUGUGCCCAGAUGGGAUUAGCUAGUAGGUGGGGUAAAGGCUCACCUAGGCGACGAUCCCUCGCUGGUCUGAGAGGAUGACCAGCCACACUGAAACGUAUCCACGGUCCAGACUCCUACGGGAGGCCUCAGUGGGGAAUAUUGCACAAUCGUCGCAAGCCUGAUGCAGCCAUGCCGCGUGUGUGACGAAGGCCUUCGGGUUGUAAAGCACUUUCAGCGAGGAGGCGUUACUCGCAGAAGUAGCACCGGCUAACUCCGUGUCAGCAGCCGCGGUAAUAC